UUAAACAUAGUGGACAUCGACGCAUCAGUUCGCUAAAACGUAAACUGCGUUAUCUAAACAGCCGGCCCGUCUUCUUGCGCCAUUUCAUUCACCUCUGCAAACGAUUCUCCCUGUCCCACCGCCAACUGCCCCACAUGCACAUACGCAGAAUUGUAUGUAUAUAUAUAUAUUUAGGUGUAUAUAUAGAUGUCAUCGGCCAAAUCUUCGGCAGCCCUCAUUCGUAGAUGGACAGAGUAGUAUCACUGAAUCCGAUCAUCACCACCACUCUGUUCAUCUUCUCAUUUACGCUGAUCAUGAGCAAUACUAUGGUCACAGCAGGUGCUUGCACCCCGAAGGACUCGGGCCCUGUGAUUCCCACGACUCCUCUGAUCACGUUUCUCGAAGGGGUUCAAGAAGCAGCUCUGAAGACUUAUGGGCACAAGGGCUUUGAUCCAAAACUGUACGUCGAUAUGUCACUGAAGCAAAACCUCUCAACAACAGUCGCAGCCUUUGACAAACUAACCAGAACAGCGAAUGGUUCGAUUUCAGUGGAAGAAUUGAAUGGUUUCCUGGAGAAAUAUUUGGGUGGUGCGGCGGAGGAUUUGGUGUAUGUAGACCCCGUUGACUUUGUGGCGGAGCCCGAAGACUUCUUGCCUAAAGUGAAGAGCCCAGAGGUGAGGGCUUGGGCCUUGGAGGUGCAUAGCCUCUGGAAAAAUUUGAGUAGGAAGGUUUCGGGCCAGGUCCUUGAGAAGCCCGAUUUCUAUACAUUGCUCCCUUUGGAGAACCCUGUUAUUAUUCCCGGGUCAAGGUUCAGGGAGGUUUACUAUUGGGAUUCUUACUGGGUGAUCAGGGGGUUGUUAGCAAGUAAAAUGUACGAGACGGCAAAAGGGAUUGUGUAUAAUCUCAUUUCCCUCAUAGAUGAAUUCGGUCAUGUUCUCAAUGGUGCAAGGGCAUACUACACGAAUCGAAGCCAACCUCCUUUGCUGAGCUCAAUGGUUAUAGAUAUAUACAAUCGCACACAUGACGAAACCUUGGUUAUAAGAUCACUUCCUGCAUUGGUGAAGGAGCACGAGUUUUGGAAUUCAGGGAUGCAUCAGGUGAAUAUCAUGGAUGCUGAUGGUACGAAUCACAGUCUAAGUCGAUAUUACGCAUUGUGGAAUCAACCAAGGCCCGAGUCAUCAACUACCGACAGGGAAACAGCUUCGAAACUCUCAAAUAACUGUGAUAAAACACAACUAUAUCGUGAACUAGCGUCCGCUGCUGAAUCUGGGUGGGAUUUCAGUACCCGAUGGAUGAGGAAUGAGUCUGAUCUAGCAACAUUAACUACAACAUCAAUUAUACCUGUGGAUUUGAAUGUAUUCAUUUUGAAGAUGGAGCUCGAUAUAUCCUUUCUGGCACAUGUUGUCGGAGAUGCUGUAACGGCUGGACGCUUUAGUGAAGCUUCUCAGGCUAGAAAAAAGGCCAUAAACUCUACUCUGUUUUGUGCGGAGAUGCAACAGUGGCUCGAUUACUGGUUGAGUGACUCCAACCCAUCGAAGGAGGAGGUGUAUACAUGGAGACGUUCAGGCCAGAAUCAGAAAUUAUUUGCGUCAAACUUCAUUCCCUUGUGGAUUGAACUGUUUAAUUCAGAUGUCAAGAUGGUGGAUGAUGUCGUCCUAAGUCUACAAAAUUCUGGUUUGGUUCGCUCGUUUGGGAUUGCGACUUCUUUGACAGACUCGGGACAACAAUGGGAUUUUCCUAAUGGUUGGGCUCCUCUCCAGCACAUGAUCGCCGAAGGCCUUGUAAGGUCAGGGUCAAAACACGCAAGAUGUGUUGCCAAAGAUAUUGUUGUUAAGUGGACCAGGACAAACUAUGUGGCUUAUAAGAAAACUGGAGCGAUGCAUGAAAAGUACGACGUGGAAAAAUGUGGAGGCUUUGGAGGGGGCGGGGAAUAUAUACCCCAAACGGGAUUUGGCUGGUCGAACGGAGUCGUCUUAGCAUUCUUGGAGGAAUUCGGAUGGCCAGAAGACCUGAAACUUGACUGUUAAUAACCAAGAAAAGCAAAGUGUUGAGGUUCUAGACCGGUAAAGUGUAUUAAGAAAGCCGAAAUAAUAUUCACUAAAAUGUAGUGAAAUUAUUCCACAAGAAGAGGUUAGAUUCAGGGGAUACAGUAAAUAGCAGUAGAUACAUUUGAAAGUAUUGAUGAGACAAUGCGGUUAACCUGUACACAGAGCAUAUAUCAAUGUUUGAAAUGUUGAGCCUGCUUUUAUGUAGCAGUGAGUGAUCUGUGGGGAUUAUGAGCUAAAACUGUCUUCUCUGCUCAUUGUUAACAAGCUAUACCUGUACUAUUUAUAAAUUCGGGUAAACAUCACAUUUGGUUCCUCAA